AUUUACUUAUUAAUAAAAUAAACAUUUUAUUUUUUAAUUUACAUCCAGGUUAGUUAGCAUACAGUGCAGUAAUGAUUCCAGUAGAUUCUAGUGAUUCAUCCUCUACAUAUAAUACCCAGUGCUCAUCCCAACAGGUGUCUUCCUUAAUGCCCCUUACCCACUUAGCCCAUCCCCUCACCUACACCCCUCCAGCA